GACGAACGCUGGCGGCGUGCCUAAUACAUGCAAGUUGAGCGAUGAAGAUUGGUGCUUGCACCAAUUUGAAGAGCAGCGAACGGGUGAGUAACGCGUGGGGAAUCUGCCUUUGAGCGGGGGACAACAUUUGGAAACGAAUGCUAAUACCGCAUAACAACUUUAAACAUAAGUUUUAAGUUUGAAAGAUGCAAUUGCAUCACUCAAAGAUGAUCCCGCGUUGUAUUAGCUAGUUGGUGAGGUAAAGGCUCACCAAGGCGAUGAUACAUAGCCGACCUGAGAGGGUGAUCGGCCACAUUGGGACUGAGACACGGCCCAAACGCCUACGGGAGGCAGCAGUAGGGAAUCUUCGGCAAUGGACGAAAGUCUGGCCGAGCAACGCCGCGUGAGUGAAGAAGGUUGUCGGAUCGUAAAACUCUGUUGGUAGAGAAGAACGUUGGUGAGAGUGGAAAGCUCAUCAAGUGACGGUAACUACCCAGAAAGGGACGGCUAACUACGUG
rnacentral:rRNA from 1 species